rnacentral:rRNA from 7 species
UGUGGCUGGGGGUGAAAGGCCAAUCAAACCGGGAGAUAGCUGGUUCUCCCCGAAAGCUAUUUAGGUAGCGCCUCGUGAAUUCAUCUCCGGGGGUAGAGCACUGUUUCGGCUAGGGGGCCAUCCCGGCUUACCAACCCGAUGCAAACUGCGAAUACCGGAGAAUGUUAUCACGGGAGACACACGGCGGGUGCUAACGUCCGUCGUGAAGAGGGAAACAACCCAGACCGCCAGCUAAGGUCCCAAAGUCAUGGUUAAGUGGGAAACGAUGUGGGAAGGCCCAGACAGCCAGGAUGUUGGCUUAGAAGCAGCCAUCAUUUAAAGAAAGCGUAAUAGCUCACUGGUCGAGUCGGCCUGCGCGGAAGAUGUAACGGGGCUAAACCAU